GCUUAAUCCUAAACACAGAUACCUUUAUACAAUGUUAUCCGCCAGAGAACUACAAGCGAAAAGCUAGAAACUCCAAGGACUUGGCGGUGCUUUAAACCAACCUAGAGGAGCCUGUCCUAUAAUCGAUACCCCACGUUAAACCUUACCCCCCUUAGCCAACCAGCCUAUAUACCGCCGUCGUCAGCCUACCUUGUGAGAGAAAAAAAGUAAGCAAAGCAGUCAUUAACUAAAACGUCAGGUCAAGGUGUAGCACACGGGAGGGAAGAGAUGGGCUACAUUUUCUAGAAUGAACAUACGAACAGUGUGUUGAAACACGCAUUUAAAGGUGGAUUUAGUAGUAAAUUAGAUAAGAAAAACUACUUGAAACAUGCUCUGAAGCGCGC
rnacentral:rRNA from 1 species